rnacentral:rRNA from 1 species
AGAGUUUGAUCAUGGCUCAGAUUGAACGCUGGCGGCAUGCCUUACACAUGCAAGUCGAACGGCAGCGCGGGAGCAAUCCUGGCGGCGAGUGGCGAACGGGUGAGUAAUACAUCGGAACGUGCCCAAUCGUGGGGGAUAACGCAGCGAAAGCUGUGCUAAUACCGCAUACGAUCUACGGAUGAAAGCAGGGGACCGCAAGGCCUUGCGCGACUGGAGCGGCCGAUGGCAGAUUAGGUAGUUGGUGGGGUAAAGGCUCACCAAGCCUUCGAUCUGUAGCUGGUCUGAGAGGACGACCAGCCACACUGGGACUGAGACACGGCCCAGACUCCUACGGGAGGCAGCAGUGGGGAAUUUUGGACAAUGGGCGCAAGCCUGAUCCAGCCAUGCCGCGUGCAGGAUGAAGGCCUUCGGGUUGUAAACUGCUUUUGUACGGAACGAAAAGGUUCUCUCUAAUAAAGAGGGCUCAUGACGGUACCGUAAGAAUAAGCACCGGCUAACUACGUGCCAGCAGCCGCGGUAAUACGUAGGGUGCAAGCGUUAAUCGGAAUUACUGGGCGUAAAGCGUGCGCAGGCGGUUAUGUAAGACAGUUGUGAAAUCCCCGGGCUCAACCUGGGAACUGCAUCUGUGACUGCAUAGCUAGAGUACGGUAGAGGGGGAUGGAAUUCCGCGUAGCAGUGAAAUGCGUAGAUAUGCGGAGGAACACCGAUGGCGAAGGCAAUCCCCUGGACCUGUACUGACGCUCAUGCACGAAAGCGUGGGGAGCAAACAGGAUUAGAUACCCUAGUAGUCC